rnacentral:rRNA from 1 species
ACUGCUCAGUAACACGUAGUCAACAUGCCCAGGGGACGAGGAUAACCUCGGGAAACUGAGGAUAAACCACGAUAGGUCAUGAUUUCUGGAAUGAUUCAUGGCUCAAACCUACAUGGCCCCUGGAUUGGACUGCGGCCGAUCAGGCUGUUGGUGAGGUAAUGGCCCACCAAACCUGUUACCGGUACGGGCUCUGAGAGGAGGAGCCCGGAGAUGGGCACUGAGACAAGGGCCCAGGCCCUAUGGGGCGCAGCAGGCGCGAAACCUCUGCAAUAGGCGAAAGCCUGACAGGGUUACUCUGAGUGAUUUCCGCUAAGGGAAUCUUUUGGCACCUCUAAAAAUGGUGCAGAAUAAGGGGUGGGCAAGUCUGGUGUCAGCCGCCGCGGUAAUACCAGCACCCCGAGUGGUCGGGACGAUUAUUGGGCCUAAAGCAUCCGUAGCUUGUUCUGCAAGUCUUCCGUUAAAUCCACCUGCUCAACAGAUGGGCCGCGGAGGAUACUACAGGGCUAGGAGGCGGGAGAGGCAGGCGGUACUCAGUGGGUAGGGGUAAAAUCCACUGAUCCACUGAAGACCACCAGUGGCGAAGGCGGCUUGCCAGAACGCGCUCGACGGUGAGGGAUGAAAGCUGGGGGAGCAAACCGGAUUAGAUACCCGGGUAGUCCCAGCUGUAAACGAUGCAGACUCGGUGAUGGGCUAGCUUUGAGCCAGCCCAGUGCCGCAGGGAAGCCGUUAAGUCUGCCGCCUGGGGAGUACGGUCGCAAGACUGAAACUUAAAGGAAUUGGCGGGGGAGCAC